CCUAAGGUAGCGAAAUUCCUUGUCAGGUAAGUUCUGACCCGCACGAAUGGCGUAACGAUUUGGGCACUGUCUCAACAGCCUACCCGGCGAAAUUGUAGUACCGGUGAAGAUGCCGGUUACCCGCAACUAGACGGAAAGACCCCAUGGAGCUUUACUGCAGCUUAAUACUGAGAUUCGGUAAUUCAUGUACAGGAUAGGUGGGAGACUUAGAAGCAGAGUCGUUAGGCGCUGUGGAGUCACCCUUGGGAUACCACCCUUGGAUUGCUGGGUUUCUAACCUGCGGCCAUGAAUCUGGUCGGGGGACACUGUUAGGCGGGCAGUUUGACUGGGGCGGUCGCCUCCUAAAAAGUAGCGGAGGCGCUCAAAGCUUGGCUCAGCAUGGAUGGAAAUCAUGCAAUGAGUGUAAACGUAUAAGCCAAGUUGACUGCGAGACCGACGGGUCGAGCAGGUACGAAAGUAGGAGUUAGUGAUCCGGUGGUAUGUGAGUGGAAAUGCCAUCGCUCAACGGAUAAAAGCUACCCUGGGGAUAACAGGCUGAUCUCCCCCAAGCGUCCACAGCGACGGGGAGGUUUGGCACCUCGAUGUCGGCUCGUCGCAUCCUGGGGCUGUAUUCGGUCCCAAGGGUUUGGCUGUUCGCCAAUUAAAGCGGCACGCGAGCUGGGUUCAGAACGUCGUGAGACAGUUCGGUCCCUAUCUGUUGCGGGCGUAAGAGAUUUGAAGGGAGCUGUCCUUAGUACGAGAGGACCGGGAUGGACUGACCGCUGGUGCACCAGUUGUUCUGCCAAGAGCAUAGCUGGGUAGCUACGUCGGGACGAGAUAAACGCUGAAGGCAUCUAAGCGUGAAACUCCCCCUAAGAUAAGAUCUCUCAUCCUUUAUGGAGUAAGGCUCGUCGUAGACUAUGACGUUGAUAGGUCAGAGGUGGAAGCGCCGUAAGGUGUGUAGCUGACUGAUACUAAUAAGCCGAGGGCUUGACCU
rnacentral:rRNA from 1 species